AAGAGGCUGUCCUGACACUUUCAUUCACUGACCUUACACACGUAGUAAGAGAGUGAAUUCUAUGCGCGCAUAAAAAACAUUCUCUCGGGGGAAAAUGACCGGCUGACUCCAGGGUAGCGUCACCUUCUCCGGGGGAGAUAUAAAAGAACAGUCCUCGGCUCAGAGUGUAGAGCAGGAGACGGUGUGAUCUAGGAAAGAAAAGGAAGAAGAUAAAAAAAAGCAUUGAUAAAGUACAGUGGCUGUCGAAGUGACAACAUGAUCUCUAAUACCGCACUCUGCUUCGGAAUCCUAGCAAUGCUGUCGGUCCAGAACCUCCUGCUAGCUAAGCCAGUCGCUGAUAUUCAGACCCUGUCCAGGUGGCUAGAGGGAGGGACUGACCGUUAUCUUGAAUCGGAGGUGAAGGACCUCGAUGUAGAUGACUUGUCCCUUGCAGCGGUUUCCUCUGAUCAGCUGGAUAGCGAACUCUUGCACCGAAAGUUCGAAGGCUUGAGUGCGGGGAAACCCGUUUCUGACGAGGCGCUCGUUCGAAUCUUAAGUGACGUAAUCAAUUCUGCGAAGAGAUAUGGGAGGAAAAACAAAAAGGGCGUUUCCCGGGGUUGCUUCGGAGUGAAACUGGACAGAAUAGGCUCCAUGAGCGGCAUGGGCUGCUAAUCCAAUUAUAAUAUGGGACUAAUAACGAAAUUAAAGAAGAUUUGAAAUCUGGGACUGGAUGACCAGCAGCAGCUUUCAACUCCGCUCCGGGAAUAUAUUCCUUCACAGCGCGGCUUUAACUUCAGCAACUGCCAUAAACAUAAUACACCUCUAUAAAAACACCUGCAGCAUCUCUACAAGUGCUUCCCUGAUUAAACCGUUCUUGAAUUAGGAUUGCUGUCUGUUUCAUUACUUAUAUCGUCUUUAAAUAACGUAUUACCUGUACAUUUUAUUUAUUGUGAAUUUGUUAUGAUUUUGUAUCCAUUGUGUGCGCUUCA